rnacentral:lncRNA from 1 species
CAUAAUAUCUUUUUAAUCAAAAAGCAAUAUUUUUACAUAAGUGGAACAAAUGAACUUAAAAAUAUUUGCCACUUACAGUUUUGCGAAAACCACAGUAGGCUACUAAAGCAAUUAACCCAAAUCUAAAUUAGUUCCAUUUGAAAUGACAGAACCUCAGCCUAGUUUUGCCAGCAACAAACCUAGUGAAAUGAAUGAAAUUUCACAAAACUAAAAUAUGAAUAAUUUCUACAAUAUGAAACCAUUAUUUCAUCAGACUAAAGCUGUCAUUUUGUAUUUUAUGAUUAAAUAUCUGGCGCACGAGUAACACAAACAUCUUACUGAAGAGUAGGUCUCCCCACUUCAGCUCAUUUAGCAGGCAAGUGUCAAGAACUAUUACAGUAUUGCCUUAGAGGCAGUAAGUGAAAUUCUUGGAAGUAGCUUAUGACAUUUCUUAAAGCUUUUUUUCAAAGGUGGAAAUAAUCAAAGCAGACAUCACACAGAUUUUAGUUGCUGUAGUUGAGAAAGUCAACAUUUUCAAUGGAAGUUGUGCUAUCCCUUGUCCAAGUUCUCCCCAUCCUGUAUCUCAGAAAAUAUGCAUUUGUACACACUAAAAACAGAAGGUAAAACAGCCUGUUUUUUCUCAGUCUUUUCAUGUGAGACAAAAAUAAGAGGACAUAUGUGAUUCUAAAGCACCAUCCUUACACUUCACGUCUAACUCUGCAAGAGAUUUCAGGCUGCAAUGUGUAAAUCAUUACUAUAUGCUCUAAAUAGUACUUUCUAUUUAAUCAGGAGAGAAGAAAAAUCCCCUCUAGAAUAACAAUAAAUAACUACAGUUUUCUUUUAAAUGAAAUGAUGUAAUUUAUAUCUGACCUGAGUUUCAGUCUUUUCCUAGUGGGAAAUAUAAAUUCAGCACUUGGAUACAUAAUCCUACAGCUCUCAGAAGAAGCCGACUCCACCGCGAACACUUUACAUGAUUUAUAGCUCUCCUCCAGAUUCAGAUGACAAGUCUCGGCGGAGCAGGAAGAACUGGAGGAAGAAGAUGUUUCUGUCAGAAUACUGGACUUACC